GACACCGGCUAACUACCGUGCCAGCAGCCGCGGUAAUACGGAGGGUGCGAGCGUUAAUCGGAAUUACUGGGCGUAAAGCGCAUGCAGGUGGUUUGUUAAGUCAGAUGUGAAAGCCCGGGGCUCAACCUCGGAAUUGCAUUUGAAACUGGCAGACUAGAGUACUGUAGAGGGGGGUAGGAAUUUCAGGUGUAGCGGUGAAAUGCGUAGAGAUCUGAAGGAAUACCGGUGGCGAAGGCGGCCCCCUCGGACAGAUACUGACACUCAGAUGCGAAAGCGUGGGGAGCAAACAGGAUUAGAUACCCUGGUAG
rnacentral:rRNA from 1 species